GGCUAGAGAAAAGAGCAGCAGAAGGGAAUCAUUUCAUGCCUCCAAACCUUCUUCAGUCUCAGUUGGACUCACUUCAGCUUGAUCCUUCAGAAGGCAUACUCAAGGUUGAUGCUACUCAAAGUCCUGACGAUACUGUCAAUGGCAUACAAGCUCUGAUCUUCUGAUCGUCAAUUCCUCAGACAAAAAUUAGGUAUUCAAGACCUUAUCUAGUUGAGAUGAAAAGGAGUUUUAUUUUAUUUUAUUUUUUAUUUUUAUUUAAUCUAAUUCAAGUUGAAGAUGGCUCCAUCAAACAUGACUGAUUGGUUUCAAAGUCUCACCAGAUUCAUUUCCAUGUUUUUUUCGUCACUAGGUGUAAUUGAACCCGAGCAUUUGCCUUAUGAAUAUACAGACAGGAAGUGAAAAGGAAUCCAUAGGAAUGACACAGACUCAAAUGACAACAAUGGCAGGAAUCUAAAAUUGGUGAAAAAUAGAUUUUAUUUUGUAACUGAACAUCACUUCUUGAAAGUGCAAUGCCAUAGAUCUUGAUAAUUUUUGUUGGAUAUGAAUAAAAAUGUUUCUACUCGUGCUUGCCUUGGUUGUAAGGUGCUAAAAAAAUUAUGGUUCGGGAUUUAAAUAAGUCAAGAUCAAGAUAACAACAGCUUAUCAAAAGAAUGAACAUACCUAAAGGAUUUAUGCAGGUUUAGUAAAAGCUGCAUAUGCACAUCCUAUGCAGGUUAUGGUAGCAAAGAGGAGAAAUGGAAAAAAAAAGAGGCAAAAUAUGGUUUAAUUUUUUAGUUUCUUAUCAUUGUGGUUUUUGAGGAUACUAAUCGAUUGUCUAGUAUAAAGCCUAUUAUCACCCCUUGUGCAUGAGUGCUUAAGAAAAGCCAAAGUCAGUGACACUAUGUUUUAUUAUGCAAGCUACAUUGAGGGUGUCUUUUGGUAUGAGCCUAUCCUCACAUCCCAUGCAUAGAGGCCUAAGUUUAGGAGACUAUUGUCACAAGAUGAUUCAAAUGAGCCUCCCCAUGGGCUUAUAUAGAGCCAGGAAGCUUCUGGAGACUCCUAGAGUGGGAAGAGAGUGUGGAAGGUUCUAGAGAUGCCUGGAGGAAUCCACACAACUCUACACUAUGGUGGAAGACAUGAGAGGAGUCCACAGCCUUCUAAAGAAUUCCAGAGGUCUCUUGUAUAUUUUUGUACAUAGGCUUGUACCUAAAAUGAUGUUGGACAUUCUAGAAUAUACUUGAAUUGGAAGGAACCCUCCAAGGUUCCAGAGAGUUCCAUUGGUGCCUAUAAAUAGGUGAGGGCCUCAUUUGGCCAAGGCACCAAGCAAGUGAGUCUUCAAAACACUUGUAAAGGCUUCCUUGAGUAAUAAGAGCUUCCAUUCUCUAAGAGUUGCCUACUAAGCUUCUUAAGCUUUCGAGUUGUGAGCAUCUUAGCCUAGCAAGCUAAGCAUUGGGAGCAAGGCUGACUUAGCAAGAUCAAGUGUCUUGACUUGCCUAAGUGUCGCACGAGCUUAGUGAACGACUAAGUCCGUGACACUAUGCUUUGAUUGUCAUGGCUUGUUCUUGGGUGCUUAGGAGAAACAAAUUACGCAACACUAUGCUCCGGUAUGCAAGCUACAUUGAGAGGGUCUUUAUCAAGUUUAAAACUUGUCUAGUAUGGGUCUAUUGUCAUGCCCUAUCCAUGGGUGCUUAGGAGAAGUCUUAAGUUUGGGACACUGAUUGUCAUGCCUUGUGCUUGGGUGCUUAGUGAGAAACCUAAGUAUGCGACACCAUACUUUGAUAUGCAAGCUACAUUGAGGGUGUCUUUCUCAAGUUUAAAACUCGGCUAGUACAAGUCUAUUGUCAUGCUUUAUGGGUGCUCGGGAGAGGCCUAAGUUUCAUUUUGUCCAGCAUGAAGUUACUGUCAUGCCUUGUGGAUGGGUGUUUAGGAGAGGCCUAAGCUUGAGACGCCAUAAUCUCAGUUAUGCUGGUUUUAGGAAAGUAUUAAGAAAAAAAAAAUUAAGAAAAUGAUUUUCUCGUAUUCGGUUUUAUUAAGGAAAAUAUUUAAAAAAAAAAACAAAUAUAAUUCAAAAUGAUUAGAAAUUUAUGUAUUUUCAAAUUAUUUAAUCAUUAUAUAAAAAUUAAAAUAAAUAAAAUGAGUUGACAUAAAAAAAAUUUAUUGAUAUUAAAUAUAUUUUUUAUUUUCCUUCGUUAUAUCUUUCCUUCUACUUUCUUCUUUGUUUUCUUUCUUUUGUAUUUUUCAGCAAAUUUUCUAGGAAUCAAACAUUACCUUAAGAAAUAGAGAAACAAUUGUAAAAAUAUUUUUCUCCUCAUUUUUUUUUUCUACUUUCAUAAAAGUGAGGAAUUUUUUUUUAAAUAGAAAAACAAACAAGAAACAACUUUUAUAAUUUUUUCAUAUUUCUUUAUUUCCUUAUAUUUUUCUUCUAUUUUCUUUUCUUGAACCUUUUGGGAACUAAAUAUAUAUUAAAAAAUGAAGUAUAAUAUAAAUAAAAUAUAUAAAAAACAUAAUACAUAAAAAAGAUAAUUAUAAAUAUUUUUCAAUAUUAGCACAAUUUCUUUGGAAAAUUACUAAUUUACUAUUAUGUACAUAUUUUUUAAAAUCUUUACUAAUUUAUUAUGUACAUAUAUGAAUAAGAAAAUAACUUAAUUUUAUUUAAUAAUUUAAUUGUAUUUAAUAAUUUAAUUGUAUUUAAUAAUUUAAUUGUACUUGACCUUAACUAAAAUUGCACUAGGGUAAAAUCAAAGAAUCAUUCACAUUAUCAUUUUUCCACUACAAGAAUAAAAUAUUUGUUAGAGUUGUUCAUUAUACAUUUUUUUUAUUGCAAAUUAAAUCAUAAUUAUGAAAUUUCAAAAAAUUAAUUAGUUUUAUUUCAAAAUUUAAUUAAUUUUAUUUAUUACCUAAUAUUAUAUAUAAAAAAACUCUAAUUCUAUGUUUGAUUCCUGGAAGUAGUAAGAAAAGAAGAAAAAAAUCAUAAAGAAAAUAGUUUUCUCGUGUUUGGUUUCAUUAAAAAAAUAUGAAAGAAAAUCAAAUAUAAUUAAAAUUAAUUAAAAUUUUAUGAAUUUGAAAAUUAUUUUAUUUUUAUAUAAUAGAGAAAAAUAAGUGAAAUGGGUUUGAAAAAACAUUUUAAAAUAAUUCAUUAACUUUGAAUCUACUUUUUAUUUUCCUUCUACUUUUUCUUUUCAUAGUCUAUUAAUUUUUACUAAUUUAUUAUGCACUUCCUAAACUAUUAUUUUUAUUUAAACAUUAUUACUGAACUAUUUCUUUAAUUAAAACAAAAUUUCUAAGCUAUCAAACGCUCAAUUUCACAUACACCCAAUAAAUAUAUAUAAAAAAAAUAUUUAUAGAUACCAAUAAAAAUGAAACUAAAUAAAAGUAGGAAAAUAAAAUAAGUACCCAAACAAAAGCUUACAAUAAGCUCAAUGCCUCACUUACACCUUCAGUGAGCCUCCUUUUCUUUCAUAAAAUUUGGUUCUCCACGUGUCAUAAAUUUACGCUCACCCAAUGCAAUACCAAUAACAGAAUAGGGUCAUGCAAAACAAAAGGGAGUCCAAAGUAAAUAUGCAUAGCCUAAAAUAAUUCAAGCCCAAAUGUAAUAAACCCAAAAACAUCCUUCAAAUUGAUCUAACAAAUUUCACUACUAAAAAAAAUGGACCCAAAAUUAGCGACAAAAAUAUCUCACAUCCCAUAAACCUUAAUCCAAGAUUCCGAAUUAAUCAGCAAAAUACAAGUACAAUUAACCAAGCCCAAAAUAUGACAAAACAAGAUAAAUUCAAUUAGACCUAAAUUUAAUAUCUCAUAAUUCAAGUCUAAUUUAAUAUACAAAUCGAAUCCUAAACCAAAAUCAAGCUCAAUUUAAUAAAUGUAUAACUAAACAAGUUAAGCAAGCCCAAAUUUCCCAAACCACUACCUAGAAAUCAAAUAAUAAUAAUAAUAAUAACAACAAAAGAAAAUAAAAUAAAAUAAAAUGAAAAUAAAAAUUUUACCUCACGCUUGAAGCCUAAAGUGGAGAAGAAGGUUGUGCAGCAAGAUGCACUGGGUUUGGGUGUCGCGGGUAAAUAGAGUGUGGGAAGAGGGUCUGAUGGUGAGGUCGUGUGAGUGUGUGUGUGGGGAGAAGAAAUAAAGGAAAGUAAGAGAGAAAAUGGGGAAGAAAGAGAGAAGGGAGAAGGAAGGGCUGUGUCUCUGUGAGUGGCCAUGUGUGGUGAGGGGGAGAGUGAAGAAAAAAUGGAAUGAAAAAAUGAGAGAAAAAAGGAGAAAAGAAAAUGGAAAGGGAAAGAAGAGGAGAGAGAGUGGGGGGAGUGUGGGCAGAGAUAAAAAGGAGGAAAGAAAAAAAAAAAAAUAAAGAAAAAAU
rnacentral:lncRNA from 1 species